GACGAACGCUGGCGGCGUGCUUAACACAUGCAAGUCGAACGGAAAGGCCCUGCUUGCAGGGUGCUCGAGUGGCGAACGGGUGAGUAACACGUGGGUGAUCUGCCCCUUACUUUGGGAUAAGCCUGGGAAACUGGGUCUAAUACUGGAUAGGACCAUGCUGUAGGUGGUGUGGUGGAAAGAUUAGUUUCGGUAAGGGAUGAGCUCGCGGCCUAUCAGCUUGUUGGUGGGGUAAUGGCCUACCACGGCGUCGACGGGUAGCCGGCCUGAGAGGGUGGACGGCCACAUUGGGACUGAGAUACGGCCCAGACUCCUACGGGAGGCAGCAGUGGGGAAUAUUGCACAAUGGGCGCAAGCCUGAUGCAGCGACGCCGCGUGGGGGAUGACGGCCUUCGGGUUGUAAACUCCUUUCAGCCAUGACGAAGCCCUUGUGGUGACGGUAGUGGUAGAAGAAGCACCGGCUAACUACGUG
rnacentral:rRNA from 1 species